AAAAAGAAAGAGGGAGAGAGAAAAGGACAACGACAGAGAUCUGUAAAUGACCACAAUUGAUUAAACUCUUCGGGGAGAGAGAUAAUAACUCUGCCCUGCAAGUGUUUCUUCUGCCCAAUCUCAUCCCCUUUUUGGAGAAAGAAAUUGUCCCCCAAGAUUGUCCCAUUUUGUCCUAAGGCUGGGGCUGGCCUGGAGAGAGCCUCUGAAGGCUUAUCAUGAAGCUACUUCCUUUAGGAUACGGCACCAUGAUCACUGUGGCAAAACCCACCUUUAUUUUCUCCAUUAGGCACAACAGAAAUUUGCUGUACACACUGCAAGACAAAGAACAAAAAGACCUCACUCGCUGAGCGAAAAGAUCCAGUCGUAUACAUGAUUUCACCGGGUUUCCAACUGUAUAAUGAAAUCGAACUCCUCCCUCGGGAGGGGGUUCCCUCCCCCACCUACUGCACACACAAAAUUCUACCCACUUCUUUCCAAGGACACACUUUGUUCUAAAUCCCCAGUGGCUUUACUCCUGCACACAAAAAAAGAGCAGAAGUCUGCACCUAAGUUGUAAGCGUGAGCUGCGAUCUUUCUCUGAGCCCAAGAUGAAAGGAGUAGAUGGAAAGGAAUUACUCAGUGUGAAGUAUGCAUUUGUAAUAAGCAGGCAUGGGAUGCUAUGUAGUGAUCUUGACAUGGCUGAUAGGGGAUGAGGAGGUGAGGAUGGGAUAGACUUUUUCUUUUCAUUUUCAUGAAUCUCUUACUCUCAAGCUGAAGGAGAGACUAAAAACCACAGGAAAGGGCACGAGUUUAUUAUCACAGAUUUUUAAUGGGUUAAUAAUGUUCUGCUUAAAACCCUCGUUUUAAAAAAAAAGUUAAUUCGAUCCAUUUUUCUUUGGAUUACAGCAACUUUAGGACAGGUGUGGUGUAAUAGGAGUCGCUUUCAGAAAGGAGUGAGUGUGUUUGAGCAGAGAAUCACUGGGUACACACCAGACUACUUAUUGUAGCACUGUUUGUAGAAGCAAACACUGAAAGCCACCAAAAAGUCUGUGAAAAAGGGCAAGUGAAAUACAUUAAGGAAUACCAUUUAAAGAAAUACUAUGCCACCACUUAAAACAUCAAGUUUUUCUAACACAGAGUGCUGUCCAAGAGAUUUAAGUGGAAAAUGCAAGCUGAAAGAUACUUGUGUAAAGACAAAGAAAGGUGUGAGCGUUCGAUAUGCAUAUAUGCUGAUCUAUGCGUGGACUAUUUCUGGCAUGAGACACUACAAACUGCUAAUAGUCAUUGUCUGCGGGGGAGGAGGGAGACCCACCCUUCCCCACAAGCCCUAUAAUUUGAAUUUUCCCCAGGAGCAUGUAUGACAUGGUUCCCCAAAAUUUAUAGCUCACUAGAAAAAUACCUACAUUGGAAAUUGUCCAUGAUCGAUACUCAAAG
rnacentral:lncRNA from 10 species